AAGCCUUUAUCUUACAAUCUUUAUAUACACAGUGAGCUUCUAGUAAUCCCUUAGAGGAAGUCUCUACCAUUAAUAUUUUUGCUAAAGGUUCUGGCCUAAUAUCAAGUUUACAAGCAAAUGCACAGGAAAUAAAAGAAUUAGUAACACCUGGAUCGAUCAAGGCCUUGGCAAAAGUAUCAUGAAUAGAAAACAUACCAUAGAUAAGAACAGUAGUAGGGAGAACACCGAGUUCAUCUAGAACCUAUACACGUAGUGUUAGGGGCAAUCCUUUAUAGAUGUUGGGUGCUUCCGCACUAAUAGUAGGCGUGAUUGAUACGCUAAUAGGGUAGGUCAUCAUGCGAGCUACCACAAUGCUGAUAGGGUUGGGUAUGUC
rnacentral:lncRNA from 1 species